UACGGAGGGUGCAAGCAUUAAUCGGAUUUAUUGGGCGUAAAGGGCGCGUAGGCGGGUAGGUAAGUCAGAUGUGAAAUCCCGGGGCUCAACCCCGGAACAGCAUUUGAAACUGCGUAUCUAGAGGGUAGGCGGAGAAAAUAGAAUUCCACAAGUAGCGGUGAAAUGCGUAGAUAUGUGGAAGAAUACCGGUGGCGAAGGCGGUUCUCUGGGAAUAUCCUGACGCUGAGGAGCGAAAGUGUGGGGAGCGAACAGG
rnacentral:rRNA from 1 species